CUGGUCUGUACUGACGCUGAGGCGCGAAAGCAUGGGUAGCGAACAGGAUUAGAUACCCUGGUAGUCCAUGCCGUAAACGUUGAGUGCUAGGUGUUAGGGGGUCCAACCCUUAGUGCUGCAGUUAACGCAAUAAGCACUCCGCCUGGGGAGUACGGCCGCAAGGCUGAAACUCAAAGGAAUUGACGGGGGCCUGCACAAGCGGUGGAGCAUGUGGUUUAAUUCGACGCAACGCGAAGAACCUUACCAGGUCUUGACAUCUUCGGACAGCCCAAGAGAUUGGGUCUUCCCUUCGGGGACCGAAUGACAGGUGGUGCAUGGUUGUCGUCAGCUCGUGUCGUGAGAUGUUGGGUUAAGUCCCGUAACGAGCGCAACCCCUGAUCUUAGUUGCCAGCAUUCAGUUGGGCACUCUAGGAUGACUGC
rnacentral:rRNA from 1 species